CUAUAGAUAAACUUUAUAUAUAAUCUAUUAUCUCGGUCUCCAUAACCCAUUCCUUGUAGAAUAACCGUACAUGAGUCGCCAUCUAUUCCCUCCUUAAACGCUAUCCCUCUCUAUAAAAUACUCUAAAAUUCCUCCCAUAGUCUCAUAUCCAACGCAGUUACCCACCACAUAUUCACCAUUGAGAAAACAAUCAUAGUCGCUGCUAAACGCCUCCGCCUUUCUCUUCUCUCGCAUCUCUCCUUUAGAAACCCAAAAUCCUAACUAUCAAACAUCACAACCCACUAACAGUGAACUUUAUUGUCACAUAACCUUCACAACCAUCAAACAAGCCACCUUCAUCACCGUCACACUUCAUCUUACCACCGUUCACUACAGCCAUCUCUCUCGAACAGCUAACGACAUCUAGCAUGUGCUACUAUUCUAUUCUCUCAUCAUUUGACCUUGAUUUCUAUUUUUGAAGUGUUAACCUCAGGUAGUAUAUGUGUAUGAAAAGUUUAUGGAAGAACAAGUGACUUUAUCAUAAAAAAAAACUAUCAGUAUCAAGAUAUGUAUACUAUUUUUUAUAUUUGUAUUGUUAUGUUCAUUAAGAUUGUAGCUUCAAAUUUUAACCGGUUCUUAUAUUAACAGGGAUGCUUUUCUUGAGGCAGGGAUUUAAUGCAUGAAGUAAUUCAAGAUGAUGAAUUUUUUAUGCCGAAAUCAGUUUAUUGGACAAAUACAGUUAAUCUAAUCUUGCAUGAUUAAGUUACUAACCUGGUUGAGUUUUUAGUAGCCAAAUUAGUUCAUAAAAAUGCUUAUUUAAUUUGAUUAUUGAAUGGGGUUUUGAUGUGCUUGCAUAAUCCUUAAUGAUAGUGGAGUGACCUCUUUUGUUGUUUAUAUUUCUCCAUCUGCUCUUCUCUGCUCAAGGUUUCUGGUUGGUGAUGGUUUGAAUCCAUUGCAUUGAACUUGACUUGUUGUAAUUAUGCAUUGAAAUGUGGAUGUGGAAAAAGUUGUAUUUCUAUAUCUGUUUGUCUAUUUUUAUUCUUUAUUUUUUCAUUCACAGGAAAGAAAGAAGAGCCAAUAUUUAGAAGUUUAGUCAAGGCAGGAUAACUAAAAUAAAUCAAGAAGCACAUAUGGUGUAUAUAAUUUGCUUGAGAAAGAAUGACCUGAUAGAGGGUCUAUAAUUUGUUUAACUGUUGUAUUUUAAAAAAUGGUACUUUUAUGUUAAGUAUCGUAUACCAAAAUGGGAAUAUAUUAUUUUUCUUAUUAAUCGAUGUAAUAUUAUUGUUUGGAUCUCGAAUGCAUCCCAUAUUCAUGUUAA